CGACCAGGUGCCACGUCUGUGCUCUGGCCGCUGCCUUCGCAGGGCUGCACUGGGCCGUGCCAGCUGUAGGAGGAGCUGGAAGGAAGAAGGGAGGAGGACGGAAGUGGGAAAGGGGCACUCACUCCCCAGUUACAGGCCGUGGUCAGUGGCUGCGGCCCGGGGAAUAGCCAGGAACCAGGCAGCCCAUUGUUAUGAUGCCAGGGUACCGCUCUGCUUGGGUGGAGGAGGGCCAGAGCCCGGAUACGGAGGAGGGGGAAUGAGGUGGCACCUCGGAAAUAGGACCGGGCAGGGGCCACAAGACAGGGGCUGUAGCCACGCCCUGAACAUCGUGGGGUUUGUGAGCUCUUGGUUUCCAGUGUGCUUUCUGCCUCGUCCUCACGAGCUGGACAGCCACAGGCUCCCCUGUUGCAUUUCUCUGCCUGAAGCCGACGGCAGCCUGAAGGGCAAGGGCAUCAAUUUUGUUGGAGGAAAGGAGAAAAAUAAACCUUUAGAACAACUUGACAAUAAAAAAACCCAGCCAACAAAACGCCCAGCCUGGCAGGACGAUGCAACUGGGAGAUGCUGGUGGCUGAGGCUGGGUGGCCACUGGUUGUCCUGGGCCAUCUGGCGUCCGUCCGUGGGCGUGUUGCCCUGGCCCUGCCCCGUGCUCCAGAAGGUUCUGUGUUUUGCAGGUCACUGGUCUAGAGUCUGGCCCAAGCAUCUCCAUAGCAACAGCGUUCAUUCCGGGUUACUCACUGCUUCUGUUCAUUAAAAGGGAAAAAGAAAGCUUACAGGGAGAGCAGAGGGUCACAUUCAAGGCUCGCUCAGCACCCAGCCUCCACCUGAGAAGGCACGGGAGCUGGGACGUCUCUGCCCCUGGGCCUCCAGGCUCCCCACGGAAGCUGGGUGGGUGUGGGGACAGCAGCCUCUGUCCUGUCUGUUCCUCCCCGUCCCCACGGCCACCUCCACAUGAGGCCGCCUCCCUGUGAGGCCACCAUCACCGUCCCCUGCAGGACCAGCAGUCCUGCCUCCCCUCUCUGGCCAGAGUUCCCUCUGUCAUCUGUCCUCCACCCACAGUGAGGUUGCCAAUCUGACCUUCUGCCCCUGAAGCUGUUCUCAAGCUUCGGGUCAGGCUGGACCGCCCCUCUCCUGACUCCAGCCCCCACGGCAGUCCCCACCCUCCGGAGGUUCUCUCUGAGCUUCCCAGCCCUCUCUUCACCUGGUUCCCUCUUCCUCAUCCUUCAGUGCUCAGCUGGGACCCCCGAGACACCCGGGUGGGUCACGGGCGCCCCCCUGCACGCCCCCGUUCCCUGUGUCCCGUGGAGCUGCAGCCCACUGUCCACUUCCACCAUCGGGCCGUGGCCUCCGUGGGCUCCCAGGGGGCCUCCCUCCUUCCAUGUCCUCCAGCUCGGCCAGUGGAGGUGUCCAGGGGGCGUCUGAGCACAUGCGGUGCCCACAGUUCAGACGCCUUCUGGGCAUCGUGAUGCCAGGGAAGACUGUCACCACGGAGACGAGCAGGCUACACACCACACCCGAACAGACACUGUGCACAGCUCUGCCGGCUCCUGCCACUCCUCUGAAGGGCCCCUUCAUCUUUCCAAAGGUCGCUUGUUUUCCUAUAAGUGCCCUUCUCCCUUCCCCUGUCAACUCCCCCUAAGAUGGCAGAUAAGCCCCAAAUUCUAACCACUGCUUUGAGUCACAUUUCUCUGUGAACUCCCAAGUACAUACAUACGUGAAUAAAAAUCUGUCUUUUCUCUCGCUAA
ensembl:lncRNA